CCUACGGGUGGCAGCAGUGAGGAAUAUUGGUCAAUGGGCGGGAGCCUGAACCAGCCAAGCCGCGUGAGGGAAGAAGGUACAGCGUAUCGUAAACCUCUUUUGUCAGGGAACAAAGGCGGGGACUAGUCCCCGGAUGAGGGUACCUGAAGAAAAAGCAUCGGCUAACCCCGUGCCAGCAGCGGCGGUAAUACGGGGGAUGCGAGCGUUAUCCGGAUUUAUGGGGUUAAAAGGGUGCGCAGCCGGCCCGUUAAGUCAGCGGUAAAAGCCCGUGGCUAAACCCGGGCUAGCCGUUGAAACUGGCGGGCUGGAGUUGGAGAGAGGUACGCGGAAUGCGCGGUGUAGCGGUGAAAUGCUUAGAUAUCGCGCAGAACCCCGAUUGCGAAGGCAGCGUACCGGCUCAACAUUGACGCUGAGGCACGAAAGCGUGGGUAUCGAACAGGAUUAGAUACCCGUGUAGUC
rnacentral:rRNA from 1 species